rnacentral:rRNA from 1 species
CGCCGUCCCCGUCCCCGUCCCGGCCCGACCUACUACGACGUACCUACCGGUACGGGACGGAGCGAGGUUGGGAAGUUCGUUGGACAAGUACGGGGGAAACCCGUACGGAACUCCACGCCAUGCCGCGUGAGUGAUGAAGGCCUUCGGGUUGUAAACUCUUUACGCGCACGACGAUAAUGACGGUAGUGCGAGAAGAAGCUCCGGCUAACUUCGUGCCAGCAGCCGCGGUAAUUC